rnacentral:lncRNA from 1 species
AUACAUCUCUUUGUUUGAAUCUCUAAAUUUCAAUUCUAGUCGCUCUAUAGUUUAUGCUAAAUUUAUUCUUAAUAAAGAUAAACAAAACGGAUAGCAUACUACUUUUUUUCAAAAAAAAAAAUCUCUUGCAAAAGUCAGUUUGAAUAGCAAUUUCAGUUCCGCAAUAUUAUUACAUUUAUGCCCUUAUUUGGUUGGGGGUUAAGGGGUGGAAUAACCCCUUAACCCCCAUAUUAUCUCCAAGCACCCCAAAAAAUGGGUGGGGUUAGCUAACCCAACCUCAAAUAAAUUAUUCCGGGUUAGCUAACCCCACCUAACCCCACCAAACUCCAACCAAAUACUAUUUUCUAUUCAUAAUAACACACUAUCUUUCUUAUCACACCUACUCCAACCAGUCAUUAUCCUUCUUUAUUAAUCAUUAUCUUCUUAUUCCACCUACUCCAACCAAACACUAUUUUUCAUUAUUCUAGACUAACUCUAACCCCCAACCAAACACAAAAAAACUUUAACCUCACUUUAACCCUGAACUUAACUCUAUCCCUGGAAUAACUACUUUUUCCUUAACCCCGAACCAAACGGAGGCAUAAAGUUUUACUUUUUUAUACAUUUUAUACAUACAGAAAACCUUAUAUCUCUAGAGCCACAUUCAAAAUUUAUGUUUUCAAAAUUUAUGUUGCUUACUUAGAUAACAACAAAUAUAAAUGACUAAACUUUAAUCUGUUGUACUAGUUGAGAGGUCAGAGAGUCAACUCUUUUCAAAGGCAAUGUAUAGAAGCUUACACCUCUCACCUUCUAAAUGGUAUUUUAUAUGCAACAAAAGAUGUAUAGAAAAACUAACCAUUUCUAGUGCAAGUGGCAAAGGGUUUGAUGGUUGGUAUCUAAGCUCCUAAAUUUGAAUCUUAGUUGAUUCAUAUUUUUUGUUAAGUUUAUUUCUAAAUGAAAUAAACGAAACAUGUAGUAUGCUAUUUAUCUCUAAAAAAAAAAUGUCAAGGUUCUGAAGUGAACGAAUAAAAUUUUU